AUGAUUCCGAAUUCCCUUCUUGAAGGUUGCGUCAUCAGAGAAGGUCCUUGUUCUGUUCUGGCAGUCAAAGUGAUGGCUCCUCAUCCUCGACAGAGCAAUGUUAGACUUAUGGAGAAGGCUAUUAUGCUUCUUCACUGCCAUCCAGAUGGAUAUGCUAAAGCAAAGGGUGCAGGAACAUCAGAUACAAAGGUAGAGACUAUAAGUAAAGAAUCGGAUAGGGUAAAAAAGGGAGUAAUUCCUAGUCAAAGAAACAAAAAUGAAGAAUAA
rnacentral:lncRNA from 1 species